GGUUAAGCGACUAAGCGUACACGGUGGAUGCCCUGGCAGUCAGAGGCGAUGAAGGGCGUGCUAAUCUGCGAUAAGCGCCGGUAAGGUGAUAUGAACCGUUAUAACCGGCGAUACCCGAAUGGGGAAACCCAGUGUGAUUCGUCACACUAUCAUUAACUGAAUCCAUAGGUUAAUGAGGCGAACCGGGGGAACUGAAACAUCUAAGUACCCCGAGGAAAAGAAAUCAACCGAGAUUCCCCCAGUAGCGGCGAGCGAACGGGGAGGAGCCCAGAGCCUGAAUCAGCAUGUGUGUUAGUGGAAGCGUCUGGAAAGGCGCGCGAUACAGGGUGACAGCCCCGUACACAAAAGCGCAUGUGCUGUGAGCUCGAUGAGUAGGGCGGGACACGUGGUAUCCUGUCUGAAUAUGGGGGGACCAUCCUCCAAGGCUAAAUACUCCUGACUGACCGAUAGUGAACCAGUACCGUGAGGGAAAGGCGAAAAGAACCCCGGCGAGGGGAGUGAAAAAGAACCUGAAACCGUGUACGUACAAGCAGUGGGAGCCCCACCACCAAAGCAUUCUCUGGUGUUGAAGGCCCUGCAAAGCAGCAUCGCGGUGGCGGAGCGUCGUUUGCGACGCCCAACACACAAAACAAGCGGUGAGUGCUUUGGGGUGGGGUGACUGCGUACCUUUUGUAUAAUGGGUCAGCGACUUAUAUUCUGUAGCAAGGUUAACCGAAUAGGGGAGCCGGAGGGAAACCGAGUCUUAAUUGGGCGUUAAGUUGCAGGGUAUAGACCCGAAACCCGGUGAUCUAGCCAUGGGCAGGUUGAAGGUUGGGUAACACUAACUGGAGGACCGAACCGACUAAUGUUGAAAAAUUAGCGGAUGACCUGUGGCUGGGGGUGAAAGGCCAAUCAAACCGGGAGAUAGCUGGUUCUCCCCGAAAGCUAUUUAGGUAGCGCCUCGUGAAUUCAUCUCCGGGGGUAGAGCACUGUUUCGGCUAGGGGGCCAUCCCGGCUUACCAACCCGAUGCAAACUGCGAAUACCGGAGAAUGUUAUCACGGGAGACACACGGCGGGUGCUAACGUCCGUCGUGAAGAGGGAAACAACCCAGACCGCCAGCUAAGGUCCCAAAGUCAUGGUUAAGUGGGAAACGAUGUGGGAAGGCCCAGACAGCCAGGAUGUUGGCUUAGAAGCAGCCAUCAUUUAAAGAAAGCGUAAUAGCUCACUGGUCGAGUCGGCCUGCGCGGAAGAUGUAACGGGGCUAAACCAUGCACCGAAGCUGCGGCAGCGACGCUGAUGCGUUGUUGGGUAGGGGAGCGUUCUGUAAGCCUGUGAAGGUGGCCUGUGAGGGUUGCUGGAGGUAUCAGAAGUGCGAAUGCUGACAUAAGUAACGAUAAAGCGGGUGAAAAGCCCGCUCGCCGGAAGACCAAGGGUUCCUGUCCAACGUUAAUCGGGGCAGGGUGAGUCGACCCCUAAGGCGAGGCCGAAAGGCGUAGUCGAUGGGAAACGGGUUAAUAUUCCCGUACUUGGUGUUACUGCGAAGGGGGGACGGAGAAGGCUAUGUUGGCCGGGCGACGGUUGUCCCGGUUUAAGCGUGUAGGUGUGUGUUCCAGGUAAAUCCGGUUCACUUUAACACUGAGGCGUGAUGACGAGGCACUACGGUGCUGAAGCAACAAAUGCCCUGCUUCCAGGAAAAGCCUCUAAGCAUCAGGUAACAUCAAAUCGUACCCCAAACCGACACAGGUGGUCAGGUAGAGAAUACCAAGGCGCUUGAGAGAACUCGGGUGAAGGAACUAGGCAAAAUGGUGCCGUAACUUCGGGAGAAGGCACGCUGACACGUAGGUGAAGUGAUUUACUCACGGAGCUGAAGUCAGUCGAAGAUACCAGCUGGCUGCAACUGUUUAUUAAAAACACAGCACUGUGCAAACACGAAAGUGGACGUAUACGGUGUGACGCCUGCCCGGUGCCGGAAGGUUAAUUGAUGGGGUCAGCGCAAGCGAAGCUCCUGAUCGAAGCCCCGGUAAACGGCGGCCGUAACUAUAACGGUCCUAAGGUAGCGAAAUUCCUUGUCGGGUAAGUUCCGACCUGCACGAAUGGCGUAAUGAUGGCCAGGCUGUCUCCACCCGAGACUCAGUGAAAUUGAACUCGCUGUGAAGAUGCAGUGUACCCGCGGCAAGACGGAAAGACCCCGUGAACCUUUACUAUAGCUUGACACUGAACAUUGAGCCUUGAUGUGUAGGAUAGGUGGGAGGCUUUGAAGUGUGGACGCCAGUCUGCAUGGAGCCGACCUUGAAAUACCACCCUUUAAUGUUUGAUGUUCUAACGUGGACCCGUAAUCCGGGUUGCGGACAGUGUCUGGUGGGUAGUUUGACUGGGGCGGUCUCCUCCUAAAGAGUAACGGAGGAGCACGAAGGUUGGCUAAUCCUGGUCGGACAUCAGGAGGUUAGUGCAAUGGCAUAAGCCAGCUUGACUGCGAGCGUGACGGCGCGAGCAGGUGCGAAAGCAGGUCAUAGUGAUCCGGUGGUUCUGAAUGGAAGGGCCAUCGCUCAACGGAUAAAAGGUACUCCGGGGAUAACAGGCUGAUACCGCCCAAGAGUUCAUAUCGACGGCGGUGUUUGGCACCUCGAUGUCGGCUCAUCACAUCCUGGGGCUGAAGUAGGUCCCAAGGGUAUGGCUGUUCGCCAUUUAAAGUGGUACGCGAGCUGGGUUUAGAACGUCGUGAGACAGUUCGGUCCCUAUCUGCCGUGGGCGCUGGAGAACUGAGGGGGGCUGCUCCUAGUACGAGAGGACCGGAGUGGACGCAUCACUGGUGUUCGGGUUGUCAUGCCAAUGGCACUGCCCGGUAGCUAAAUGCGGAAGAGAUAAGUGCUGAAAGCAUCUAAGCACGAAACUUGCCCCGAGAUGAGUUCUCCCUGAGACUUAAAGUCUCCUGAAGGAACGUUGAAGACGACGACGUUGAUAGGCCGGGUGUGUAAGCGCAGCGAUGCGUUGAGCUAACCGGUACUAAUGAACCGUGAGGCUUAACCUU
rnacentral:rRNA from 1 species